rnacentral:rRNA from 1 species
GACGAACGCUGGCGGCGUGCCUAAUACAUGCAAGUCGAACGCACUCUCGUUUAGAUUGAAGGAGCUUGCUCCUGAUCGAUAAACAUUUGAGUGAGUGGCGGACGGGUGAGUAACACGUGGGUAACCUGCCCUAAAGUGGGGGAUAACAUUUGGAAACAGAUGCUAAUACCGCAUAAAACCUAACACCGCAUGGUGUAGGGUUGAAAGAUGGUUUCGGCUAUCACUUUAGGAUGGACCCGCGGUGCAUUAGUUAGUUGGUGAGGUAAAGGCUCACCAAGACCGUGAUGCAUAGCCGACCUGAGAGGGUAAUCGGCCACACUGGGACUGAGACACGGCCCAGACUCCUACGGGAGGCAGCAGUAGGGAAUCUUCCACAAUGGACGAAAGUCUGAUGGAGCAACGCCGCGUGAGUGAAGAA